GUUCUCUAAUUGUUCUGCCUUCAGUAUCUCCUGCUUAUCCUCUCCAGGUCACAUUGGUGUUAACGUAAAAAUGGUCAAAUUUGGGGGCACGGGCUAGGAUUCUGCAAAUUCCUCACAUCAAUACCUAAUCUGACCAGUAGGGGCCUUCUAGGUCAACUGAUGCCUUCAUUUACCUCUGAAUUCUUUAGAAUUGGAAUCAAGAAAAUCUCAAAUCUGGAGAAUCUAAAAAGCUUAGAUGUCUUGGAUCUUCAUGGAAAUCAGAUUACCAAAAUUGAAAAUAUUAAUCAUUUGUGUGAGUUGAGAGUUUUAAAUCUUGCCAGGAACUUUUUAAGUCAUGUUGAUAAUCUUAAUGGGCUGGAUUCACUAACUGAACUUAACUUGCGACACAAUCAAAUCACUUUCGUGAGAGAUGUGGAUAAUUUGCCCUGUCUCCAACAUCUCUUUCUCAGCUUCAACAAUAUAUCUAGUUUUGACAGUGUUUCCUGCCUUGCUGACUCUUCUUCCCUCUCGGACAUCACCUUUGAUGGCAAUCCCAUAGCUCAAGAGUCAUGGUACAAACACACUGU
rnacentral:sRNA from 1 species